AACCCAUGGUGAAGGCACUUUUACAAUAGAUCCUUGUAUCUCUCUUAUGCAUCGUAAAGUGUUUCUAAGUCUAUCUGCACAAAAGAAGAGAUAUCAUUACAUAACUU
rnacentral:snoRNA from 1 species